CAUUUCUANGUUGCUAGAAGAUGACGAGGGGCGGACCGUUGAGUAAUGCUUGGGAACAUGCCUUUAGGUGGGGGACAACAGGUGGAAACGACUGCUAAUACCGCAUAGUGUCUACGGACCAAAGGGGGCUUCGGCUCUCGCCUUUAGAUUGGCCCAAGUGGGAUUAGCUAGUUGGUGAGGUAACGGCUCACCAAGGCGACGAUCCCUAGCUGGGUUGAGAGGAUGAUCAGCCACACUGGAACUGAGACACGGUCCAAACUCCUACGGGAGGCAGCAGUGGGGAAUAUUGCACAAUGGGCGCAAGCCUGAUGCAGCCAUGCCGCGUGUGUGAAGAAGGCCUUCGGGUUGUAAAGCACUUUCAGUAAGGAGGAAAGGUUGGUGGUUAAUACCCAUCAGCUGUGACGUUACUUACAGAAGAAGCACCGGCUAACUCCGUGCCAGCAGCCGCGGUAAUACGGAGGGUGCGAGCGUUAAUCGGAAUUACUGGGCGUAAAGCGUACGCAGGCGGUUGAUUAAGCGAGAUGUGAAAGCCCCGGGCUCAACCUGGGAACUGCAUUUCGAACUGGUCAACUAGAGUGUGAUAGAGGGCGGCAGAAUUUCAGGUGUACCGCUGAAAUGCGUACAGAUCUGAAGGAAUACCGAUGGGGAAGGCAACCCCCUGGGUCAACCCUGACCCUCAUGUACGAAAGCGUGGGGAGGCAACAGGGAUAAAUACCCUGGUAAUCCACCCCGUAAACCAAGUCUACUUAAAAACUGGGGUCCCUCGGAACACCUUUU
rnacentral:rRNA from 1 species